rnacentral:rRNA from 1 species
CCUACGGGAGGCAGCAGUGAGGAAUAUUGGUCAAUGGCCGGAAGGCUGAACCAGCCAUGCCGCGUGAAGGUCAGUGCCCUAUGGGCGUUAAACUUCUUUUGUGCGGGAGCAAUAAUGGUCACGUGUGGCCAGACGAGAGUACCGUACGAAUAAGCAUCGGCUAACUCCGUGCCAGCAGCCGCGGUAAUACGGGGGAUGCAAGCGUUAUCCGGAGUUUUUGGGUUUAAAGGGUGCGUAGGCUGGGAGGUAAGUCAGCGAUGAAAUGCCCCCGCUCAACGGGGUGAAGUGCCAUUGAUACUGCCUUGCUGGAAUGCGGAUGCGGUGGGAGGAAUGUGUGGUGUAGCGGUGAAAUGCAUAGAUAUCACACAGAACACCGAUUGCGAAGGCAUCUCACGAAUCCGCGAUUGACGCUGAUGCACGAAAGCGUGGGUAUCAAACAGGAUUAGAUACCCCAGUAGUC